rnacentral:rRNA from 1 species
GACAGAGGUGCCAAGCGUUAGGCGGAAUCACUGGGCUUAAAGCGUGUGUAGGCGGAAUGGUAAGUACCUUGUGAAAUCCCACGGCUCAACCGUGGAACUGCUUGGUAUACUGCUUUUCUUGAGCCACUUAGGGGCUACCGGAACAAACGGUGGAGCGGUGAAAUGCGUAGAUAUCGUUUGGAACGCCAAUGGUGAAAACAGGUAGCUGGGGAUGUGCCGACGCUGAGACACGAAAGCCAGGGGAGCGAACGGG